GCAAGUCGAGCGAUUCUCUUCGGAGAAGAGCGGCGGACGGGUGAGUAACGCGUGGGUAACCUGCCCUGUACACACGGAUAACAUACCGAAAGGUAUGCUAAUACGAGAUAAUAUACUUUUAUCGCAUGGUAGAAGUAUCAAAGCUCCGGCGGUACAGGAUGGACCCGCGUCUGAUUAGCUAGUUGGUAAGGUAACGGCUUACCAAGGCGACGAUCAGUAGCCGACCUGAGAGGGUGAUCGGCCACAUUGGAACUGAGACACGGUCCAAACUCCUACGGGAGGCAGCAGUGGGGAAUAUUGCACAAUGGGCGAAAGCCUGAUGCAGCAACGCCGCGUGAGCGAUGAAGGCCUUCGGGUCGUAAAGCUCUGUCCUCAAGGAAGAUAAUGACGGUACUUGAGGAGGAAGCC
rnacentral:rRNA from 1 species